GGAUAUAGCUCAGUUGGUUAGAGCGCCAGGUUGUGGCCCUGGAGGUCCUGGGUUCGAAUCCCAGUAU
rnacentral:tRNA from 1 species